AUUGAACGCUAGCGGGAUGCUUUACACAUGCAAGUCGAACGAGUGGCGGACGGGUGAGUAAUAUAUCGGAACGCUCCCAGUAGCGGGGGAUCACUACUCGAAAGAGUGGCCUAUACCGCAUACUAUUUGUGCGGCCGAUAUCGGAUUAGCUAGUUGGUGGGGUAAAGGCUAACCAAGGCAACGAUCCGUCGCUGGUUUGAGAGGACGACCAGCCACACGGGAACGGAGACACGGCCCAGACUCCUACGGGAGGCAGCAGGGGGGAAUUUUGGACAAUGGGGGAAACCCUGAUCCAGCCAUCCCGCGUGUAUGAGAAGGCCUUCGGGUUGUAAAGUACUUUUGGCAGGGAAGCGGUAUCUGCAGAAUAAGCACCGGCUAACUACGUGCCAGCCGCCGCGGUAAUAC
rnacentral:rRNA from 1 species